rnacentral:sRNA from 1 species
GCAGGGUGUGGUGGCACACACCUGUAAUCCCAGCUACUGGGGAGGCUGAGGCAGGAGGAUAGCAAGUUUAAGGCCAGCCUCAG